UUUUAGUGCAGUUAUGGAUUUCCGUGUUCAACAUUUGACCGUCCGUCUUAUUUCAAAACUUUAUGCAAAAAUAAAAAAAGUAGUCACACAUAAAGUAUUAUUCAUAUUUUACCAUCUAAUAGCAAUAAAAUACUAAUCAUAAUUUUUUUAAAUAAGAUGGACGGUCAAACAUUGGAGCAAAAUUGUGGUCUUUCUAGGA
rnacentral:pre_miRNA from 1 species